UACGGGGGGGGCAAGCGUUGUUCGGAAUUACUGGGCGUAAAGGGCUCGCAGGCGGCCGACUAAGUCAGACGUGAAAUCCCUUGGCUUAACCAAGGAAUGGCGUCUGAUACUGGACGGCUUGAAUCCGGGAGAGGGAUGCGGAAUUCCAGGUGUAGCGGUGAAAUGCGUAGAUAUCUGGAGGAACACCGGUGGCGAAGGCGGCAUCCUGGACCGGCAUUGACGCUGAGGCGCGAAAGCCAGGGGAGCAAACGGG
rnacentral:rRNA from 1 species